CCACACACACACACACACAUUGACAAGCCUUCAAUCUCUUGUUUAAACUAUAUAUAGUCGCAUAAAUGGCCUUUUACGGAAAGAAAGGUUUCAACUGUGCUUUGGUUGUGGUUGGGGGCGGAGCUAAUUUUAGGGCUGGAGAUUUUUUUUUUAACAAAAAACGUGAAAAACAAACAAACAAAUUAGGAAAUCUAUUACAUGGCAAUAUUGCUAAUCACAGUGUUUGUGAGGUAUGAUGAAAUUAUAGGAUCGUUUCAGGCCCAGAAACACCUGCAAACAUUGCGAACUGCACCUUUAAUAAGGAGUCUAUCAGUUUCUACAGAUUUGUUUUUUAUUAUGCUCAUGCCCAAUAAAGUGCGAUCAUGUCUGAGGCAUAGAUACUCCGGUACUUUAAAAACUAUCGUUGGUGAAAUCCUCCUAAAUUAAACGAAAGCGAACGUUAAAAGAUUGUUGUUAUGAAUUGAGUCGUCCUCACGUGUUCUAAUGAAGUGUUUAAUAUUGAUGAAAUGACUUUAAUAUUCAUUAUGUUCAUUCAUUAUUCGCAGUAGGAAAUCAUUCGGAGGAAAUUUCUUUUAUUUUAAAGAUCAUUUGAAAGUUUUACGUCAAACAUUUCACAUUUUUUAAAUGAAUUUUACUCUAAUUUGAAGUGAAUCUACUGAACCUGACGGACUGUAAAUGAUCUUAUUGAAGUAUGUGUGAAGGUAGUAUUAUGGUAUGUUGUAUUGGAUGAAAUGUUGUACACUAUAACACUAUGAUCUAUGUCUGUUCUGUAUGAAAAAUGUCAAAUAAUGAAAAUAAUGUUGAAAUAUAUCAACAAGACUCUUGUUUAGACUUCUUUUAAUGCACAUGUGAUUAUAUACAAUCUGUAUUAGGCUUAUGGUGAUUCUGAUGAAGGGGUCGAAAUGUUUAUGAAUAAAUAGACUCUUAUUAUGCAGUACCGCAUUUAUCCACAAGGAGGCAGACAUGAGACUUUUUUUCUUUUUAAAAUACGUUUAAGAUCCCAAAGAAUACAUAGUGUGAAUUACAUCACAUGCAUCUCGCAUGAAGCCAACGUUUCCAUAGUAACGUCAUUACGAAAAAAGAAACUGCACC
ensembl:lncRNA